AGAGUUUGAUCCUGGCUCAGAACGAACGCUGGCGGCAUGCCUAACACAUGCAAGUCGAACGCGUGGUUUCGGCCACGAGUGGCGCACGGGUGAGUAGCGCGUGGGAACCUGCCUUUGGUUCGGGAUAACCGCGGGAAACUGCGGCUAAUACCGGAUGAGCCCCUAGGGGGAAAGAUUUAUCGCCGAAGGAGGGGCCCGCG
rnacentral:rRNA from 1 species